CACUCCUGCGGGAGGCAGCAGUGGGGAAUAUUGCACAAUGGGCGCAAGCCUGAUGCAGCCAUGCCGCGUGUAUGAAGAAGGCCUUCGGGUUGUAAAGUACUUUCAGCGGGGAGGAAGGCGAUAAGGUUAAUAACCUUGUCGAUUGACGUUACCCGCAGAAGAAGCACCGGCUAACUCCGUGCCAGCAGCCGCGGUAAUACGGAGGGUGCAAGCGUUAAUCGGAAUUACUGGGCGUAAAGCGCACGCAGGCGGUCUGUCAAGUCGGAUGUGAAAUCCCCGGGCUCAACCUGGGAACUGCAUUCGAAACUGGCAGGCUAGAGUCUUGUAGAGGGGGGUAGAAUUCCAGGUGUAGCGGUGAAAUGCGUAGAGAUCUGGAGGAAUACCGGUGGCGAAGGCGGCCCCCUGGACAAAGACUGACGCUCAGGUGCGAAAGCGUGGGGAGCAAACAGGAUUAGAUACCCCAGUAGUCCCAUGA
rnacentral:rRNA from 1 species